rnacentral:sRNA from 1 species
AACACGGUUGCCCUUACUGUCAACUCCAAUUUUAUUCCGACGUAUCAAGUUCAGGUUGUUUUUCCAGGGCUUCAACCUGUUGAGCAAACUGUGGACUAUUUCGUUUCCUCAUUGUACCGGUUGCUCGCCUCAUUGCGACCCGAUCUCAUAUCUUAGCCCAACGGGCCGCGCCACUUAAUUAAUUCCUGCAUGAACGCUACUCUGUUUUGGAUGGUGCCCCGGUUGAGGCCCACGAUGAGCCUUAAUCUAAAAUCAACCCAACACAAGUCAGCCAUUCAAAAUCGAAACCUACAGAGAGUUACGUUUCUCAGUGAGUUACCACCCGCUCGGUGAAGAGUUUGGUACUCUCAACUUCCCGGCCUUACAACUUUUGGAACUUGGUUUGCCUCUCCACCAUAUCUCCAGCUGGUAAGCACGCCAAACUGUGAAGCAAUGAUACCUAGAUCCACGAAAGAUAAGCCGAGAUAAUCUCUCUGCUGUUAUAAGUAGUAUUCAUUCACCCUUAUACCUUUGGAUCCAUCCUUUGGAGUAUCAACUCACUCCAAAUAUCAAGUCCAACUCUAGAAUUUCCCAGAUGGAAAUAAUCAGAGGAGCCC